UCUCAAAGUACAAUAGGGACACAAUAGGGAAGAAUGUGGCGCAGAAACUAGUUGAAUUCACUGGCAACGGAAUGGCAAUCAAUAGGCGAGGGUUCUACUAAUAAAUACUUAGCCAGAUCGAUAAGAACCAAGAUCAACAAAGUAUCGCCUGAAUAAAUUUACUAUGAAAUAUAUAUAUACAUAUACACAGUAUAUAUACAUAUUUGUCAGACAUAUGUAGGUGAAUAAAAGUAAUUGUAACUAUGAAAAAGAACGGUACAGAAAAAGGGCCGAUUUUCGCCCAAAAGGUGU